CCAAAUCCCCUUUUUAAAACCCCUUUUCCUUUUAACAUUCACCCUUUUGUUUUUUGAAAAAAUCUUAAGAACUUUUGAGAUGCUCUCUCAACUCAUGCACUCCUCUUCACCUUUUUAUAAGACACCGUCAAAGGUCCCACAUACCAUGGCCGCCGACGACAUGAGCACAACUCCGGCUUUAUAGCCAAAAUACAAAUAGUUUCUCCCUAUUUCUUUGCUCAAGUCACAGGUAUGGUGGACAUGGGGCGUGGGUCAUGCUACACGCUAGUUGGCCAGACAUGCGAGGUGGAGUGCGUGGUGGUGGAGAACGUGGGUAGUGGCGGUUGAAGGGAGGCAACAAAUCUACGGUUUCCUCCUUGCUAAAAUGUUUUGUGGGCUAGGUUUUUUUUUUAAUUUGGGCUUGUUUAAUUUGAGUUUGUGGUUUGUAUUUUGGGCCGGGUAAAAUAUGGGUUUUACAAAUAGGAUCCAUGUGUUGGAAUUUCAUUAUUACUUCGAAAUUUCAGAACUAAAUGGUGAGACAAAUUUAAUGAUAAAAUUAUGAUUCAAAAUAUUUGGAUAUUUUUUUCAACAAGAA